GAAGCACUGUUCUCUGAACCCUGAAAAAUUGAAGUUGGGUCAUUGUGAUAGUGGUGCUCAUUCAAGUAAAUGUAAUAAUAAAUGGCUACUUAAAAGUUCAGGUGCAUUAAGUAUUCAUACAGCAUUUAUAGAUGCUAGCAUCAAAAAAUAAUUUCUCCCUAUAUCUAUAUAAUUCUUAGAAAAACCCAGAAGAGCUUUCAUUAUAUAAUCUCAUGGAAAAAUGAUGGAAGCACCAAGUAUAAAAACAAAACUAAAAAAAUUAAACCAGUACCACAUUCUGUUCAUGAAAGUGUCCAUGAAAGUUUUUAGGUAACAACAAAACGCUGAAGUGAAACACAAUAACUUCCAAAAUAUUCAUACAUAAUGUAUUAUUAGGAGGCAUGACACAAAAUCUUAGUGAGAUUCGGAAAGAACGUUUUCGUAACUCGAAUAAAAAAAAUAUAUAUUCCUCGAUUGGAUAGAGAAUUAUUUACUAUAUAGAGUAAGACUCAUUAAGUGUUAUUCCUAAAUUAAGUGGAAUUUCCUGUUGAGAUUAGAAUUGAAGGACUAACACUAUAAAUAGAAGCAUUAUAGGAGAGGUUAUUUGGCUUUAAACCAUGUGUGGAGAAAGGCAUAAAGUCCAAGAGUAAUAGACUCUUGUCCCAUGCAGCCCAUUGAGGAAGAAAUAAGCUAUUGCUCAUGUAGUGAAUACACAUUCAAGGUGUAUUCAGAAUUUAACGUAGUAAGUACAUUAGCUAUGCCUAGGAAGAAUGAGAGGGAUAAACUAAUAUAUUUACUAUUGAGAAUGGAAUAUUUUGGUGUAAUUGGGUUGAUAGAUAGUGCGAGUGAAGCUUAGAGUAUAUUGAUUAAUUAUUAUCUAACAGAUAACAGAAGAUGGCAUGCCAAUGUACGUAAUCCAAUGUUGAGAAGGUAAACUACAUAAUUAUUGUUGUUUUGUUGUUUGCUUUAUUUUUUAUUGGGCUUAGCGCUUUCAUAGUCGUAAUAAGGUAUAUAUGGUUGCUAUAUGUAUAACCUUAACUGUGAACAUAGAAGAUCAAAAGAUUGAUUGUCUAAAAGUAAAAAAAAUGGAAGCUACAAAUUAUGUGAGGACAAAAAAAAAUCUACAGGUUCCCUAUGGCUUAAAGCCAUUGAGAGACUGAUAGCAUCGACCACAAUAAAUUAUAAUGUAUAAAAGCACAAAAAGAUAUCAAAAUACCUGUAUGAUCAAAU
rnacentral:misc_RNA from 1 species